UGCACAUUUUGGUGAUGCUAGGAGCUGUGU
rnacentral:piRNA from 1 species